GACGAACCGGACGAACGUUAUUCGGAAUCAUUGGGCUUAACGAGUGCGUAGGCGGCCUUGUAGGUGAGGUGUGAAAUCCCACGGCUCAACCGUGGAACUGCGCUUCAAACCACAAGGCUUGAGUGAGGCAGAGGUAAGCGGAACUGAUGGUGGAGCGGUGAAAUGCGUUGAUAUCAUCAGGAACACCGGUGGCGAAGGCGGCUUACUGGGCCUUGUCUGACGCUGAGGCACGAAAGCUAGGGGAGCAAACGGG
rnacentral:rRNA from 1 species